CUACCCUGCAGGGAUAAAUACUAGUUGUCAAAUAAUCUAACUACUAUGCAUCAGAUUCAUACUUGUUUAAGUUAACUAGUUCUACUAGUUCAUUUAGGCACGAUGAAUAUCUACUUCACCAAGCAAAAAAAAAAACUAAAUAAAAUACAAUUCAGUUUGCCGGCUGCAAGAAUCGGAACGAGACCCAAAUGCACCACAGUGAAGACCUCUAACCACUUGUUCUGAUUCAUAGAGAAACGAAAUCUGCGUAUUUCAACAGAACUUUUUAGGAAAUGAAACUCAGCCGUGUCAUCCUAAAAACAAAAACAACAAACGACUUGAAGUGGGGCUCGAACCAAGGAUUUAACGUGCAACAGAGAUAACUUCUAACCACUCGGCUAUAAUGACGAUGGGACGAUGAAUGUAAUUUUGCGCACAACAGAGCAGAAAAUGGAAUUCAGCCGAUAUAACAACAAAAAAAAGUGGUGGAAGUUGUUAUUUCUCCCAUUAUUGGUGGACUUCUUUUCAAAUAACGAACUGGGUAGAUGCUCCGACCAAGCAUGGUCAGACUACGAAAAAUAUAGAAAAUUUUGAGCAGUCCUAAUGCAACUUCAAAUAUAUAGAUUGAUACCUGAUAUACU